rnacentral:rRNA from 1 species
AUGGUUGCAAGUUCAACUCCACAAGAGGGUACCAGUACAAUAGUGGAGAAGCCAAAACUGACCGGUUCUAGAAGGAAGCGUACAUCAGAUGUAUGGUAUGAUUUUAAGACGGAACUAAUCAAUGGGAAAUGGCAGGCAAUAUGCAACUGGUGUCAUAAGUCAUAUGCUGGAGAAUCAACCUCUGGUACGUCACACUUAAGGACUCAUCGUAAUAACUUUCCGGCUCGGCAUGCACCAGUGGGUCCACAACAAAGCAAAUUAAAGUUGUCAAAAUCUGGGGAUGGGAAAGUAAAUUUGGAGACCCUUUGUUUUUAUCAAGAACUUGCUAGAAAGGAACUUGCAUUGAUGAUAUGUGUGCAUGAGUACACUCUGUCUAUUGUUGAUCAUGCUAGAUUCCGAAAAUUUUGGGGUACUUUGCAACCAAUGUUCAAGGUGGUGUCUAGAAAUACCAUUAGGCAGGACAUUAGAAAUAUGUUUGGUGUCCAAAAGAAUAGCAUGGUGAAAUACUUCGCAAAGUUUGAGAACCGAGUAGCCAUCACAACAGAUUUGUGGACGGCUGGCCAUCAAAAGAGGGGCUAUAUGGCUGUAACUACACAUUAUAUUGAUGCUUCUUGGAACCUAAAGAGGUUCCCAAUGAGGUUUGUAUAUGUUCCAUGUCCACACAAUGCUGAAGUUAUAUGUGAAGCACUACAUGCAUGUCUUGUUGAGUGGCACCUUGAGAACAAGAUAUACACGGUGACCUUGGACAAUUGUACAUCAAAUGACAAGGUUAUCGAAAUUAUGCCAGAUAAGUUGGACACCCUUCUCUUAUGUUAA